UACGUAGGGUGCGAGCGUUAAUCGGAAUUACUGGGCGUAAAGCGUGCGUAGGCGGUUUUGUAAGUCUGAUGUGAAAUCUAUGGGCUCAACUCAUAGCCUGCAUCGGAAACUGCAGGGCUCGAGUGUGGGAGAGGUGAGUGGAAUUCCUGGUGUAGCGGUGAAAUGCGUAGAUAUCAGGAGGAACACCUGUGGCGAAAGCGGCUCACUGGACCACAACUGACGCUGAAGCACGAAAGCUAGGGGAGCAAACAGG
rnacentral:rRNA from 1 species